CAGACUCAAUGCACAGAUCUCUGCUGAUCCUCCCCGAGGUUACAUGGAAUGCAGAACUAGUUAUGCACAGGAGGCCCCUUCCUGUUGACCUCUGACUUCAUGCUUUUCUCUCUGCAGACCAUGGAGAAGCAUCGGGUCCUGAGUUUGAGGAAGACAGGAAAAUAGCCUGCUCCUGCUGGGAGAGCUGAUGGUGGCCAAUGAGAUGAGGGGGUCCAGCAGAGGUCACAGGUCAGUAGAUCAUAGAAUCUCCCAAACUCUGCUGCUUGCCACCAUCGGUAAGCACCAAAACACUCUUGCCUGGAGGAUCUGUGUCGCUCUGACAUACAGACGCUUGCUUCGGAUUACAAAACCAGCCCUCCUCCGUGCUCCCCACUUCCGACCUCCCGGUCCAAGGAUCCUCGCAUCAGGUACCCCCCGCACCCCACCCGUGUCUCCCCAACUCUGCCGCCCGUUAAAAAGACCGGCACUCCUUUCCACGGGGCCCCGUCCGCCUCUGCGUCCCGCAGCGGAACCCGAGGCACAGAGGAACGAGGCCAAGCCGGAAAGGCUGCACGCCAGUGGUCCAUCCGGAAGUGUGCCCCCGUCGGGUUCCCCAGAGGCUGGAGCGCCGGUCCGCCGCGCACCCACCUGCCGCAGUACUGCCGCAGCCAUGAUCCGCGCUUGGGCCGGUAACUGCGCGCCUGGGGCGCGGCCUGGUGAAAGGCAUUCCGGCCCCGCCCUGCCACGCCCCCUCCCGCAGAUGGCCGCUCUCUGCGGGCCUCGCUUCUGCCAGGCCUUCCUGAGUUAUGGGACCCCAGGGACCCAGGCUCUGCUGCAAAGAACAUAAUCCUGGAACAGUCCUUGUCAUACACUCGCUCCAUCUUGCCCCCCCUCCACCCUGUCCUGCCCCCUCCACCCUGUCCUGCCCCGCCCCAGCCACACUCGUGCCCAGCCAGGCGUUUGCCUUGGCUUUUGUUUUCCAGGACUUGGAGACUAAACCCAGCAUGGCCUCACGUUUGUUGGAGAAGCUCUCUAACCACUGGAAUUACAUCUCCAGACCUUUUAAAAAAUUUAGAUUGCUGGGUGUAGUGGAGCAUGUCUUUAAUCCCAGCACUUCGGAGGCAGAGGCAGGAGGAUUUCUCGGGCCUUUUAAUUUAGGUGAAGCAGAACUGCGCUCCCUAGCGACAGAAAGUAGCACCUCACUCCUGCUGCAAGGUCUCCUGGAGUUCUUCAGGGGUCAGGAAUACCCACGUGGCCUAAAGGUAGCUGGGAAGGAGACAAUGCUAGUGUGGACAGACUUGUGUAAAGAACAGGAAAUAAAUAUGAUAGUUCCUUUCUGGA